CCGAGCCGCUGCCACUGCUGCCGCCUGCAGUGCCGCCACCGUUGCGGUGGCUGUUGCUGCAUAGAGCACGGCCACAUUCACGUGCUCCGUCGGCCCUGCUGUUACCGCCAUUGCCGCUGCCAGUGCCCCUGCUGCCACCAUCACGGUGGCGGUUGCAGCUGCCUCAACUGAUGUUGCCGGCGGUGUGCAGCUGCUCGAAUGUGUUGCUGCGGUGAAGGCCGACGGACUCGUCCGCCUGCUUAACGGGACACUCGUGAACGUAGUGACCAGGCUGUCCACAGUAGUGGCAGGUGUCGCCGGCCACCACGGCGCCUGCAGCACCGGCGGUGCUGCCGAUUCCACUGGCAGCACGGCCAGGGCCGACAGCUCCCACCAGGCUUGUCUUGCUUGCUU
rnacentral:lncRNA from 1 species